rnacentral:rRNA from 1 species
AUAUCAAUAAGCGGAGGAAAAGAAACCAACAGGGAUUGCCUUAGUAACGGCGAGUGAAGCGGCAAAAGCUCAAAUUUGAAAUCUAACACUUUCAGUGUUCGAGUUGUAAUUUGAAGAAAGUUUCUCUGAGUAGUCCUUUAUCUAUGUUCCUUGGAACAGGACGUCAUAGAGGGUGAGAACCCCGUAUGAUUUUGGAUACUAUUCUUUGUGAGAUUCUUUCGAAGAGUCGAGUUGUUUGGGAAUGCAGCUCUAAGUGGGUGGUAAAUUCCAUCUAAAGCUAAAUAUUGGCGAGAGACCGAUAGCGAACAAGUACAGUGAUGGAAAGAUGAAAAGAACUCUGAAGAGAGAGUGAAAAAGUACGUGAAAUUGCUGAAAGGGAAGGGCUUUAGGUUAGACUUGGUGUUUAGUGAUUAUCUUCCCUUCUGGGUUGUGCACUCGCUUUUCACUGGGCCAAUAUCAGUUUUGGGGACAGAGCACUCAUUGGAAUGUGGCUUCUCUCGAGAAGUGUUAUAGCCUUUGGACGAUCUGUUUCUGGGACUGAGGACUGCGCAUUUAUGCUAGGAUAUUGGCGUAAUAAC